rnacentral:lncRNA from 1 species
CUCCAUGUCAGAACAUAUUCAACACCUCACACAAAUUCUUUAUCAAUGAAUCUAAAUGUUUGUUUGCAACCACCAAGGUCUCAUACUUGGGCCAUCUUCUUCAAGAUGACAUUGUUUCCCCAUACCCAGAUAAAAUUCAAGCCAUUCUACUUUGGGCCUAGUCCUACAUCCCUUACCACCCUACGUGUAUUUUUGGGUAUCAUGGAAUUCUAUCGGAAGUUCAUUCGCGAUUAUGCCACUCUUACCUCUCCACUCACAAAUUUACUAAAAUAAUCAAAGUUUACGUGGAAUACAAAUACACAAAAAGCUUUCAUACAAAUGAAAAAUGUCCUAACUACCACUCCAGUGUUAAGUCUCCCAAAUUUUUCCAUUCAUUUCAUUGUUGAAAUUAAUGUUUCCAACAUAGCCAUUGGCGUCGUGCUGUCCCAAGACGGACAUCCCAUCAUGUUCUUCAACAAAAAACUUUGUCCUGAAAGCAAGCUAGUUCAGUCUAUGUCAGAGAAAUGCUAGCUAUAAUAGAAGUAAUGAAAAAUGGCGUCAUUACCUCAUUGGUACUCACUUCAAAAUUAUAACAGAUCAACAAAGUCUCAAAGGGCUACUUACCAAUGCAUGUCACACGCCGGAACAACAAAAAUGGGUCACCAAACUGCUAGGGUACAACUUUGACAUCAUCUACCGUCCAGGCCGCCACAAUCAAGCUGUUGAUUUCUUAUCCCGACCUCCCAAAUCCCAUUUUCUUGCCAUAUCCUCCCCAAUCCCAAACAUUGUCAAAGAAUUACAAUAGUAUUAUAAGACAAUCCAAUGAGAAGAAGAAGUGCGCAAAUUAAUUUCUUUACAUAAAACGUCCUACAGUUUCCAUCAGGAACUCUUGUACCAUGGCCAAAGCCUAUAUGUUCCUUCCAUUGACAGGUUGCACUUCACCAUAAUCCCUGAGUUACACGCCUCACCCACAGCAGGCCACUUCGGUAUUAAAGCCACCAUGGCUCGACUUGCUGCCUCACUCUUCUGGCCAGGCAUGUACCGUGACACCAAAUCAUACAUCAAACAAUGUCUUCCCCGCCAACACAACAAGCCCAUAAAUCAAAAACAUUUGUGAUUACUCCAACCCAUACCCCUACCAAAUAAAUUAUGGGAAGAACUAACUACAAAUUUCAUCGCCCACUUACCUUCGUCUUAUGGACACAGAGUCAUCUAGGUAAUCUGUGAUAGGCUCUCCAAAUCAUUCCACUUCAUUGCUCUUCCUACGUCCUUCAACACACCCAACUAGCUAACCGUUUUUCUAUUGAGAUUUGCAGGUUACAUGGAGUUCCCAAGUCCAUUAUUUCUGAUCAUGAUCCUGUUUUCCAAAGCCGUUUUUGGAAGGAAUUGUUUCACCUGCAAGGUACAAAGUUGAAGUUCAGUAUUGCGUAUCACCCUCAGACAGAUGGACAAACAGAGAUUGUCAAUCAAAGUUUAAAACUUUACCUCAGAUGUUUAACCAGCAAAAAUCCAAGAACGUGGUACUAAUACUUGCAUCUCAUUGAGUUUUGGUACAAUUCUUCAUACCAUUCCGCUAUCAAGACAUCUUCGUUUCAAUCCUUGUACGAACGACCAUCACACACAAUGUCAAACUACGUUCCAGGAACCACCAUAAAACCAAAUUUGAAAAUGACACUACAUGACCGCACACAAAUGCUUCACCAAUUGAAAGAUACAUUGACACAAACCCAACAAAGAAUGGCGCAGAUAGCCAACCGGUCACGACACCACCACACUUUCGAAGUAAACGAUUGGGUUCUUCUCUGUCGUCAAGCUUACCACUAAGUUUCACUCACUUCCAAAACUCACUACAAGCUCUCACAAAGAUUUUUCUGCCAUACCCCACUAAGCAUCACAUCAGCGAAGUGGCCUAUGAACUCCUCCUACCACCAUUCUUACACAUUCACCCAAUUUUCUACAUAUAACUACAUAAACCCUAUCACGGUCAAACUCCUCCCCCAUCCUUCCACUACACGCAAGAUUUGGAAAUCCCACCCCCACCAGCACACAAUCUCCCCACUCUCAUUCCAAACGAAGAAGUAAGCUCUGAUACCCCAACUACACCACAUAACUCUUUAACCACGAACUCACCUAACUCCCCUGUAGUUUUAGCAUUUAAGGACACACGACUUUCAUCGACGUUCCAAAUCCCACCUUCACUUGCACUAAUGACAAUGGACCCACAUGCUUCUGCAAACUCAAUUAAAUAUCCAAUUGUAUACCACUUUGGCCCACAUGCUUCUGAAAACAUAACUAAGCAUCCAACUAUAUCUCACUGUCCAAAUGUUUUUCCCAUCUAGAAGUUUCUAAACCCAAAUGCUAUGUCUCCCAUCCACACAAGUAGCACACUUCUUCCCAAUAUGACCUUCACACAGCAACCCAAUCUCUUGCCUUCAAUCCAACCAACCAUUGGACCGACCGAAAUCCACACGCUGAGCACACUUAAGAACAAUAUUAAAUUCCCACAUCAGCCACCUACUUUUCC